GGACCCGUGAGGUAGUCAGGAUAUCCCUCCGGCCUUCGGAGCCGGCGACCCGGGUUCGAAUCCCGGCGGGUCCG
rnacentral:tRNA from 1 species